rnacentral:rRNA from 1 species
AUUGAACGCUGGCGGCAGGCCUAACACAUGCAAGUCGAACGAGUGGCGGACUGGUGAGUAAUGUCUGGGAAACUGCCUGAUGGAGGGGUAUAACUACUGGAAACGGUAGCUAAUACCGCAUACCAUCGGAUGUGCCCAGAUGGGAUUAGCUAGUAGGUGGGGUAAAGGCUCACCUAGGCGACGAUCCCUAGCUGGUCUGAGAGGAUGACCAGCCACACUGGAACUGAGACACGGUCCAGACUCCUACGGGAGUCAGCAGUGGGGAAUAUUUCACAAUGGGCGCAAGCCUGAUGCAGCCAUGCCGCGGGAAUGAAGAAGGCCUUCGGGUUGUAAAGUCCUGUCAGCUGAGAGGCGUUACCCGAAGAAGAAGCACCGGCUAACUCCGUGCCAGCAGCCGCGGUAAUAC